rnacentral:rRNA from 1 species
GACGAACGCUGGCGGCGUGCCUAAUACAUGCAAGUCGAACGCAGUUGCGAACGGGGGAGUAACGCGUAGGUAACUGCCUCAUAGCGGGGGAUAACUAUUGGAAACGAUAGCUAAUACCCCAUACUGUGAGAUGGACCUGCGUUGUGUUAGCUAGUUGGUGAGGUAAAGGCUCACCAAGGCGGGGAUACAUAGCCGACCUGUGAGGGUGAUCGGCCACACUGGGACUGGGGCCCGGCCCAGACGCCUACAGGAGGCAGCAAUAGGGAAUCUUCGGCCAUGGGCGGAAGUCUGACCGCGCAAUGCCGCUGGAGUGGAGAAGGUUUUCGGGUCGGAAAGCUCUGUUGUUAGAGAAGCGGUAACUGCCCAGAAAGGGACGGCUAACUACGUGCCAGCAGCCGCGGUAAUUC